rnacentral:lncRNA from 1 species
GGCCGCGAGGUGCGCGUGCGCAAGGGCCAGUCUCCCAAGGGGUGCGAGUGGAAGGUCCGGGCGGUGCGACCCCAGCGCCGCCUCGGCUGGCAGGGCACUGAGCCCGCUUGGGCGUGCGACUGUCCUUCUGUGAGGGGGCGCCUGAGGAAAAGGAUGCCAACCCCACAGAAACCCUCAGACUGCCUAGCGCUGGCCCUCAGUCCCAGCCACUUGAGAAAUCAUAGCAACACAACCAGCAGCAGCAGCAGCAGCAGCAGCAGCAGCAGCAGCAGCAGCAGCAGCAGCAGCAGCAGCAGCAGCAGCAGCAGCAGCAGCAGCAGCAGCAGCAGCAGCAGCAGCAGCAGCAGCAGCAGCAGCAGCAGCAGCAGCAGCAGCAGCAGCAGCAGCAGCAGCAGCAGCAGCAGCAGCCGCCUUCUCAGGCCCUCUCCAGAGUCCCCAGAAUUAAACUGUCUGCAGCUGGCAAAAUCUCACCCCUCCUGGAGCACGAGGCAAAUCACAGUCAGCAGCUGUGGAGUCUGAAGCAGCCCCGUAUCCCACACCUGGGAUUAAAAUGGAACCAUAGUCACAGAACAUAACUGGGUUGUUAAAUAAAACUCACUACACAUGGUCUCUCCAUAGCCCUACAUCUCCUGGAACUCACUCUGUAGACCAAGCUGACCUUGAACUCAACAGAGAUCCACCUGCCUCUGCCUCCUGGGCGCUAGGACAAACCGUGUGUGCCAUCACACUGGGCUAAAGCAGAAUAUUCUUUCAGCUGCCAGUACUACACUUGAUCUUAGCCAAACGGCCGAGAAGCGAUCAGCUGCCAGUACUCUGACUUGACCGUUCUUACUGAGACGGCUCAGUGGGUAAAGGUGCCUCCACCCCUGGGCCUAUACCAUAAAGUGGGGGGACCCCUGAAGGCUGUCCCUGACCUCCAUGGAGGCUAUGACAAUCACGCGCAGACAAAACUGGAAUUACUAGAUAGACGUGACUAAAGUAAUCUGGGGUUGGGGAUGUGGCUCCAUUGGUAGAACAACGGAGUCCGACGUGCAUGAAGCCCCGAGUUCAAGUUCGAGCACCACGAACGAGCACAGUGACAGUUAUGUAAUCCUGGCAAAAACUUCUUGGUCAUCCUU